rfam:Sugiyamaella lignohabitans strain CBS 10342 chromosome A, complete sequence.
GACAAUUUGGCCGAGUGGUUAAGGCGGCAGACUUAAGAACCGAGUUCUGAAGCCAUCUGCUGGACGAAAGUCCUCGCGAGUUCGAACCUCGUAGUUGUCA